GGCUUUGCGCAGUGGCAGUAUCGUAACCAAUGAGGUUUAUCGGAAGUGCGAUUAUUGCUAGUUGAACUGUCAGUUAUUGUUGUCUUGUUGAUAUAUAGCCCCGGGUCGGACCACAGCACAGAAAACUUCCGUUACCUAGCAGUGGA